rnacentral:tRNA from 1 species
UAGUUCAGUUGGAAGAGCAUUGGGCUAGUAUUCCAAAGGUCGUAGGUUCGAAUCCCAC